CAAGCAGCGGAGCGUGUGGUUUAAUUCGUUGCUACACGAAGAACCUUACCUGGGUUUGACAUAUAGGUUGUAGGGAACUGAAAAGGGACCGACCCUUCGGGGAGCCUAUACAGGUGUUGCAUGGCUGUCGUCAGCUCGUGUCGUGAGAUGUUCGGUUAAGUCCGCUAACGAGCGCAACCCUCGUCGUAUGUUACAAGUGUCAUACGAGACUGCCGGUAAAAGCCGGAGGAAGGUGAGGAUGAUGUCAAGUCAGCAUGACCUUUAUAUCCAGGGCUACACACACGCUACAAUGGUCUGUACAAUGGGUAGCCAAGCCGCGAGGCGGAGCCAAUCCUGAAAGCAGGCCUCAGUUCAGAUUGCAGUCUGCAACUCGACUGCAUGAAGCCGGAGUUGCUAGUAACCGCAGGUCAGCAAUACUGCGGUGAAUACGUUCCCGGGUCUU
rnacentral:rRNA from 1 species